ACCUUUCCCCUCCUCCCUCCUGCAGUCUAGCCACCCUAUGAAAAUUAUUUAAUAGGCAGAGUGGUACCUUAAUCCAAGAAAGAUUUGGAGCCACUUGCAGUAACUUUUUCUUUUCCCAGAUAAAGUUCUAAUACUCAAAAAAGAAGAGUUGAUUUAAGUCCCAUAUCCUUCAGGAAUGAGGUAUAGGAUAUAAAUAAAUUCAAAGUACCACAUUCUAAGAUAUUUCACUAAACAUUGGAAUGAAUUUUUCCCCUUUAUGUACUUUAAAAUAUAGAAAAUAUGCAGUUAUGACUAGAAAUAGCUGUAAUAUUGUACCUGCAGAGUUGAGUAUCUCACUAGUAUAAUUUAUAAUUAUAACCUAUUCUGAUUUCUUUUCAAAUAUUAGGUGUCCUAGUUGCCUAUGAAGGUUUGCCACUUCAUCUUGCACUGUUCCCCAAACUUUGGACUGAGCUAUGCCAGACUCAGUCUGCUAUGUCAAAAAACUGCAUCAAGCUUUU
rnacentral:sRNA from 1 species